CCGCCCUCCCUGCUUCCCGCCCCCAGGUUCCACUCCAGACUCCCACCCUGCUCUGGCUGGGCGGUGAGUGGGGCCACGCCCGGUCACGUGCUCUUGGACCCCGUGGCUGGGGAUCCGAGCGUGCGGCGCCCUCAAGUGGGGACAGUGUCACGGCGAGAUCGGUUUCGGAACCGAGACGCUCGUGGUCCCAGGAACCUCAGUAGAUCCAGGAGGCGGGGUGCUAUUCGCGGUCUGCCCUUAUGCUUAGUCUGAGCUGGCGGCCUCUAGGUUCUGGUCAGUGUCAUGGGCCAGGGUGGGAGCCGUGAUCGGAGGUUGUCUUUCCCGUGUGUGACGUCAUGCCACAUUCACUGGAAGGCUCUCACCACGUCCUAUCAAGAUGGAACGAGUCUGGAAGUAACAGCAGUGACCCGACUUGUUGACGUCAGGAUUGUGUUUGCUGACUCUGUUGGCAAGUCUCUUGUACAAGCCACACCCCCUACCCAAGACUUCCAGUGGGUAAUUUCUGGAACACUCGAUUCGAUUGGUUCACAUUUCUUUGGGACACAGCUAUGUACAAAACUGGUCUGGAUGCCUGAUGUAUGAGGCAUGGGGCCUGGUGCUGUGGAGAACUAAAAGAAGGCACAACCCUGCUCCUGAGUUCCGAGGUCACACUGAGCUAGCAGUAAAAAAUAUGCAAUGGCUUCACGAAUUUGCGUGUCAUCCUUGCUCAGGGGCCAUGCUAAUCGUCUCUGUGUCGUUCCAGUUUUAGUACAUGUGCUGCCGAAAUGGUGGCAUGCUUGAAUUUAACAAAUCAAUGUGAAGGUUUUUUGUUUUUGUUUUUAAGCUUUUUGAGACAGGGUCUCCCUGUAUCCUAGGCUGACCUGGAACUCA